rnacentral:misc_RNA from 1 species
UCCUCUUUACAGAGGCAGUUUGUUCCGAGUCCCCGGCAUUAUCCGCUGGUAACAGAACAUGAGGGUUGCGCUCGUUGCGGGACUUAACCCAACAUUUCACAACACGAGCUGACGACAGCCAUGCACCACCUGUGAAGCACCUUCGAAAGCGACCGCUUUUCGGCGGCUUGCAGCUCCAUGUCAAGCCCUGGUAAGGUUCUUCGCGUUGCAUCGAAUUAAGCCAUAUGCUCCACCGCUUGUGCGGGCCCCCGCCAAUUCCUUUGAGUUUCAACCUUGCGGCCGUAGUCCCCAGGCGGUUCACUUAAUGCGUUAGCUGCGGCACCGAGGGAAACCCCCCAACACCUAGUGAACAUCGUUUAUGGCCAAGACUAC